UCCAUUAAAUGUGGCCAAUGGUAAUUUGCUCUAUAUUGCAACGACGUUUGGAUCAACCGCUUCUCUUGUAUGUGAUAGAGGGUAUGAUGGAAACGGUACAAUAAGCUGCCUUGACACUGGCAGUUGGGAAAGCCCACCAAAAUGUUCUAUUAAAGACUGUGGACCUCCUUUGAAUGUGACCAAUGGUUAUUUGCAGUAUAAAGCAACAACGUUUGGAUCAACUGCUUCUCUUGUCUGUGAUGGAGGAUAUGAUGGAAACGGGACAAUAAGCUGCCUUGACACUGGCAGUUGGGAAACACCACCAAACUGUUCUUUAAAAGGAUGUCCUGUAGGAUGGACCCAAUUUGAAGAUAAUUGUUAUUGGUAUGA